rnacentral:rRNA from 1 species
AGUGAACGCUGGCGGUAGGCCUAACACAUGCAAGUCGAACGGCAGCACAGUAAGAGCUUGCUCUUACGGGUGGCGAGUGGCGGACGGGUGAGGAAUACAUCGGAAUCUACUUUUUCGUGGGGGAUAACGUAGGGAAACUUACGCUAAUACCGCAUACGACCUACGGGUGAAAGCAGGGGAUCUUCGGACCUUGCGCGAUUGAAUGAGCCGAUGUCGGAUUAGCUAGUUGGCGGGGUAAAGGCCCACCAAGGCGACGAUCCGUAGCUGGUCGGAGAGGAUGAGCGGCAACACUGGAAAUGAGAAGGGGGGCGGACGACUACGGGAGGCAGCAGAGGGGGAGCGUCCGCAAGGGGCGAGAGUCGGACGGAGCAACGGCGCGCGAGUCAUGAAGGUCGUCGGAUCGGAAAACGCGGUUAUUAGGGAAGAACAAAUGUGUAAGUAACUAUGCACGUCUUGACGGUACCUAAUCAGAAAGACACGGCUAACUACGUG